rnacentral:ncRNA from 1 species
CACUGUGGUGAUUUGGCCGGCCGGCUUGCAGCCACAUUAAAGACGUCGCUAAAAGGCCGUGCGCA